CGGGUAGGUCAUGAAGUCGUUGUGUUUUACCACGUAAUUUCGUAACGAUACAUUUUUCUAACUACAAUUACCUUCACAUCAAGUCUUGGUUGCAUGCGUUCUCUAAAAUUAUUUGCCAGCGCCGAUAAUAGACGGCAGGAGAUCUGGAGUACAGCUUGAAUACUUAUUGACUCCCAUUCCUGCAGUGCCACAAAGAAACCUCUAUAAAAGCAGAAGACAAGAAUACGAAGAUGCAUUCGGUCCACAUCCUGGCGGCGACAACCCCAGAUCGACUAUAACUUCGUCUGCAUUGCCAAUAACGGAAACAACAAAACAAACAAGCAACAAGCAAACAUCUAUGGCAUUGACAAGUGUAAGUGCAAGUAAAUCGACGACUGAAGAGCAGUCAACAGC